CUCCGGGACACCGUGGAGCUCAUUUCUCGGGAGGUGGCCCGUAUCGACGACGCCUACUUCAGGUCGUUCAUCGACUUCGCGAGCUCCGGGGAGGUGGAGAUGGAGCAGCUGGUGCCGACGACAGACUCGCUAGAGUUGACGCUGAACCCGAACGUGGAGGUGGACAGCUUGCUGGGGAUCCCGUUCUAUGAGAUGGACUUGGGCGGUAGCCGGCCCUUCUUCUUCUUGCCCGGAUACAGCAACGUGCCGGUGGAUGGGUUCAUGUACAUCGUGCAAUCCUUCGAGGGCGACGGGAGCGUGGACGCCUACGUGCCUCUCUUCGGCCGCACCAUGGAAACCUUCAAGAAGUGCUGCUACUCCUCCAUGCCGCCCAUGGCCGACGAAGAAGGUGGAGCCCUGUCACCACCGCAAAGAGGGCAGCCCAUCCAUAUUAAAUUUGAAAACUGCACAGCUGAUCAGAUCAGCCUCCCGUCGCUACACCCCUUGCCGUCCAUACACCCAAGAAGUGAAGUCACCACCGUCACCAUGGAGCGUGUCGGAAUGCAAGUCGGGAAGACCGCCAUUCGGGUUCGACACCCCGACAUCCCCUAG
rnacentral:rRNA from 1 species